GCACCAGACUUGCCCUCCAAUGGA
rnacentral:siRNA from 1 species